AUUGAACGCUGGCGGCAGGCCUAACACAUGCAAGUCGAACGAGUGGCGGACGGGUGAGUAAUGUCUGGGAAACUGCCUGAUGGAGGGGGAUAACUACUGGAAACGGUAGCUAAUACCGCAUACCAUCGGAUGUGCCCAGAUGGGAUUAGCUAGUAGGUGGGGUAAAGGCUCACCUAGGCGACGAUCCCUAGCUGGUCUGAGAGGAUGACCAGCCACACUGGAACCGGGACACGGUCCAUAAUCCUAGGGGACGCAGCAGUGGGGAAUAGUGCACAAUGGGCGCAAGCCUGAGACAGCCAUGCCGCGUGUAUGAAGAAGGCCUGCGGGGUGUAAAGUACUUUCAGCGGGGAGGCGUUACCCGCAGAAGAAGCACCGGCUAACUCCGUGCCAGCAGCCGCGGUAAUAC
rnacentral:rRNA from 1 species